GGUCCCCUUCCACACUAUAGAAGCUUUGUUCUUUCCCUCUUUGCAAUAAAUCUUGCUACUGCUCACUCUUUGGGUCCACACUGCUUUUAUGAGCUGUAACACUCACCGCGAAGUUCUGCAGCUUCACUCCUGAAGCCAGCCAGACCAGGAGCCCACCGGGAGGAACGAACAACUCCAGGCGCGCUACCUUAAGAGCUGUAACACUCACUGCCAAGGUCUGCAGCUUCACUCCUCAGCCAGCGAGACCACGAACCCACCAGAAGGAAGAAACUCCGAACACAUCUGAAAAUCAGAAGGAACAAACUCCAGACGCGCCACCUUAAGAGCUGUAACACUCACCACGAGGGUCCGCGGCUUCAUUCUUAAAAGCCAGCGUCUUCCUUUGUUGCCCAGACUGGUCUUGAACUCUUGGCUUCCAGAGAUCCUCCUGCCUUUGCCUCCCAAAGUGAUGGAAUUACAGGUGUGAGCCACCAUGCCCAGCCUUGGGAAAUUCUGAACACUGAAAUUAAAUGGAUAAUUUCCUAUAGAAAUUCUACAGACAGAUUCAAAUAUAUAAUUAAAAGGUUGUUCUUACAGUAAUGUGAUGGGAAAAUAAUCUCAGAUAACAAGAUCCAUGAAACACGUUGUUUUCAUCCUCUGGGCUGAGAAUACUUUUUUAAAGAUAUAAUUCAGCUAAUGGGAAAAAGAAUCAAAAUAAACAACUCAAGACUUGGUAACUUUUUUCUCUAAAAAAGUAAAAGAAAUAUGGGUUAACACUGAGAUUCAGUUAAACAGAGAGAAGUAUAAAAUAUUGUAAAUAUAGUAAAAAAAUUUAAACCAAUAAAAAUUCUU
rnacentral:lncRNA from 1 species